CCGGCAUCUUCAAAUCUCCUGAUUAAUGAUUCGUUAUACAUUAUUAUCUAUGCCAGUCUCAAAGGGAGUACCUGUUCUGAAUUCUGCAAGAGUACUGAAAAACCUGCAAUGGAAUAGAUUCGUUUCUUGGACCAUUUUCCAAUGCUCCAUGAAGAAAUCAAAUGCACCAUAACAUAAAGAAGACAAUAACAAACUCAUAUCGCAGUUUAAAGCUCUGAACAUCCUCCUCAAAUUGAAUUGCUUACAGAAAUUUAUCACCAUCCUCCUCCUUUGCCCGAUGAUAUGAAUGCCAUGAUCCCCACCAACAGAUCCACCACAGACCCAAUGUGUGGACAAAGCAAACUUGGACAAAGCAAGAUUGUACUAUUGCACCAAUGUUCUUCUCCAAUUUCCUUGCCACAUGGUCCCUGAAGCUUCCACUGGUGUUGGGCUAAUCUCCAGGAUGAACAGAACAUAAUUCAAACUACGGCAUCUCCAAUCUAGAAUCAAGACCACUCCAACCUCUGUUGUUGAGUUGCAGUUGCAAAUGGUGCUUGCACAUGUGCACACUCAAAAAGGCAAAUUUCCAAACUUUUAGUGAUGCAUUCACAGAGGCAUAUGAAACAAUGAGUCUUAAACUAAGCAUCUGGAAGAUAAGUCUUCUGCCAGCCUUCUCCCUCUGUAAAACAUUUUUCCUGAACAUUAAGAUCAACUGUGAGCCUCUGGACAACAUGGACCAAUUCCCAUACUUUGGGAGCCUCCUCUCAGAGAAGGUAGACAUCAAUACUUAAAUUCAACAUUGUCUCCAUUGUGACAGUGUUGCCUUGGGCUGUCUGAAGAACAGUAUGUGGGAUGACAAAGACCUCAACCUCAACUCCAAGCUCAUGAUCUACAGGGAAACCAGCUUUCUUCAUGCAUUGGACACAUAGACAAUGUACAGCAGAUACCUCAAAUCCUUUGAGAAAUACCACCAAUGAUGCUUCUGCAUAAGCCUGCAAAUCCACUGGCAGGAUGAGCACUCCAAUAACAGUGUCCUCUCUCAGUCCAACAUGCUCAGUACUGAGGCACUGGUAUGGUCAAUUAGCUGUGUUGAGUAGGUCUUCAUUCAAGGAUAACCCUAAAACUUUUCUGAAAAGGCAGUAUACUUACUGAUUCAUGGGAAUCUCUAGUGCAAGACUACUCAAACUGGAGAAGCAGCUCAAUGAAGGUGUGCCAAGCAUUUUGAGUGUUUCCAAUAGAGCCAGGGGAAGGUCACACUCAAAUAGUGUAGGGAACUUGUAAAAUAUAAACAUUCCAGCCACUCACCACUUCAGUCACCGCUGUUCCCGUCACUGGUGUUGUGUGCAAAUUUAACAUUAGAUAAUCCCAAGGAACUGCCUAAGAAUAAGAAUCUAACUUGAUAUGGUCACGUUCAUUUUGUUUGUUCAAAACUGUGGAGUCUUGUGGCUUUAAUCUCUUACUAAGUACCUGAGAUUUCACACUUCAGCUAGAGAUCAGUUUCUUUUCUUAUUUUCAGUGGACAAACAGUAACUUAAACUUAGCGGUUUUGUCAAUGAUCAUAACACGUUAUUUUUCAAGUUUAAAUUAUUCUUCUUUAGUAAUGGAAUUGACAGUACUGUAUUGAAAUGAGCUUGGUUCUCUAAUCUGGGCUGCAUUUUUAAAAAUUGUAUAUACUUAAAAGAACAACCACUAUACCAAGCUAAAAAGAGAUAGCUAGUUUUAUUUUAGGCAUAUCCCAAGGUCAGAGGGAUAUGGAGAACUAAGGCAUAUGGAGAAAUCUGAUAAAGCAUAAUUUCUGUUAUUAGGCAAUUUGCUCUAAAUUCAGGAAAUUACUCACUGUGUACAAAGCACCAAGUUUUCAUAGGAGAUUUGGCAGAACAUCCACAGAAUUUCAGUUUCUUCCUAGUUAUUGUAAGUAACUUAUAAUGUGACCAGCAAAAUCCAUAAGUAGAUAUUAAAAAUAAAAAAAGUUAUGAUUUAAUGGAAUUUCUUUUGUCUCCAAGUUUGUUCAGUUGAUGUUUAACUUGCAGCAUAUACUUUAUCCACUAGAUGACUCUGUCAGCUCCAUUUAAAACAAUUAAAAACAGACAGUGCUGCAAAUCUCAGCAAAUCAGGUAGCAUUGGUGGAGA